CCAACUAACUGUCACCUUCCUCAUAGAUGUAACACCAACAUGGAACUUGUGGUUCUGAAAAUCAUAAGUGAAAAGUCGGAUUCAGUCUAAGACAGACCUUUAUCAGAGAAGUCGACUAGAUACAUUUGAGUAUAGAUCAAUCAUAGCCUCUAAAAUAAUCAUAGACUUUGCAUAGAGAAGCAUACAAGAGAAUUGUGCAGUUCAGUUAUUGACCCACCAAGUAGAUACACAUACUCUUUUUAUAUCAGUUCCAUCAUUUGAUAGGAAAAUAAUUAGCAAUAUCCCUAGUUGGCCAAUCAGGUAAAAAGAAAAGCCUAAAAAAUAUUCACAUGGUAACUAACAGCACAACCCAUGUCAGAACUAUAUUAACAUUGGAAUGUGUUUUCCAAUGUUGCUUCUGUAGUCGCCAAUCCAGUAAUUUGCCAUCUUGGCACAACAUAUGUUGAACAACAAGCAUAAUUAGCCAAACACAUCAUCUUACACCAGCAAACUACCAUGUAGACUAUCAAUAUCACAACGCUCAUAAAUUAAACAUGACAAGUGCACUUUCACUUCCAGAUGCUUUCAAAAUCUUUAUUGAACAUGAAAAAUAUAGAUUUAUAUAUGAAAAUAUGCACCAUUUAGUGUUAAUAGUAACCAUGGCAACAUACUAACAUUUUUAAUAAGUACCCUACAUUGUAUUUCUCCAGGAUUUCUCGAAUCAAAACAGAGAACUCAGUCAUUGCCCAGCUCAGGGUGUUAUGGGAAUAGUUCUUCAUCCUGGAUGAAGGCCUUCCGCAGCAAUUUAUUUUAAAAUCAAAACCCAAAAUGCACAAACUUUAAAUAUCAGAGUCCCUCUAGAAUAAAUUAGAUCAGGAAAAGGAAAAAAAACACAGAAGUCAUCGCAAGGUUCAUCAAUUCACCUAAAAAGCAACUGACGAUGUUGAAGAUUCCCCAUGCUUGGAAGAACCAAAGCCAGAACCCUUGC
rnacentral:lncRNA from 1 species